rnacentral:rRNA from 1 species
UGCCGCGUGUGUGAAGAAGGCCUUUUGGUUGUAAAGCACUUUAAGCAGUGAAGAAGACCUAACGGUUAAUACCCGUUAGCGAUGACAUUAGCUGCAGAAUAAGCACCGGCUAACUCUGUGCCAGCAGCCGCGGUAAUACAGAGGGUGCAAGCGUUAAUCGGAAUUACUGGGCGUAAAGCGAGCGUAGGUGGCUUGAUAAGUCAGAUGUGAAAUCCCCGGGCUUAACCUGGGAACUGCAUCUGAUACUGUUAAGCUAGAGUAGGUGAGAGGGAAGUAGAAUUCCAGGUGUAGCGGUGAAAUGCGUAGAGAUCUGGAGGAAUACCGAUGGCGAAGGCAGCUUCCUGGCAUCAUACUGACACUGAGGCUCGAAAGCGUGGGUAGCAAACAGGAUUAGAUACCCUGGUAGUCCACGCCGUAAACGAUGUCUACUAGUCGUUGGGUCCCUUGAGGACUUAGUGACGCAGCUAACGCAAUAAGUAGACCGCCUGGGGAGUACGGCCGCAAGGUUAAAACUCAAAUGAAUUGACGGGGGCCCGCACAAGCGGUGGAGCAUGUGGUUUAAUUCGAUGCA